ACCACUGACCGAGCAUAUCCA
rnacentral:miRNA from 1 species